UAUACUAAAAAAUUCUCUGCUUAUUGCUAAGAACAUUCUCCGACUCCGAGGUACUUAUAGGGCUGUGAUUAUUCACUUCAGAUGGAAGAAAGCUUGGUUUGUGCCGGAGAUAUAUGACAUUCCACAUCAGGGGCAUAAGAGCAUCCGAAAAGGGAUCCCUGGAAAGUUUGACUCUGAACUUUGGAGUUUCAGAUCUUAUCAGUAAACUGAACAUGCAAGCCCAACUCUGUACUAUUGCAGGGAUUUCUUGGUAGUUCUAUGUUGAAUUUUGGAGUUCUGAUCUGCUUACUUGUAAACUAGAGAGGGAUCUUUUGGGAGUUAGACAUUGAACGUUGGAGUUUCAGAUCUGUAAACUGAACAGGCAAGCCCCCAACUCUGCACUAUUGCAAGUAUUCAUGAUGUAUUAAAUUUUAGCUUAUAGAUCUAGAUUUACCUUAUUCAGCUUCAAGUGCUCAUGCCAUUUGGUUGUCCAUUAACAUGAAUAAAUAGAAUCUUUACCUGCGAUUUUUGUUUUAUGAAGACAGUCGAUUGAGUUUUGUAGUUGACUGGGAUCAGCUUACAAAAAUGGAAACAACAAAGAGCUCUUGAAGUCAAGCAUUAGUUAAGAUUUGGUACAGGCAUUGACAAAACAAAGUUAUGUCUGGACUGUACAAAUGGUCUUUUUUUAAUAAACUUACAGAAUAUUGAUUCCCCUGUGGCAUUAAAUUGUCAGCAUGUGACCAAGUGUGAAUUCUAUUUUUUUGAAUCUUAGUUACAUAAAUGACCCUGCUUAAUUUGCAUGUACUAUCACUUAGAAAAUAGAGUGAAGGAGCAGAGUUGCAAGUAAAAUGAAUUAAAAAGUUGUAUUAGAUGGGGGCAUUCCGAGAAUUGAACUCGGGACCUCUCGCACCCAAAGCGAGAAUCAUACCACUAGACCAAAUGCCCAGCUCUUGUUGGUCCCUCAGUGGUAAUAAUAGUUUGAAGUUGAUAUUGGUUGUCUGGAGCUUGUACCAUUUUGUGCAAUAAUUUUCUAGGUGAGAUAAACAUUCUCCAUUGUUUGAGCCUUUGAAAAGUUAAAAUCUUAGAGUAAAUAAAAACUUCUAUAAAUUAAGGGGCAUUCCGAGAAUCGAACUCGGGACCUCUCGCACCCAAAGCGAGAAUCAUACCACUAGACCAAAUGCCCAUCGUUGACAUUGUCUUAUUUGAAUUUUAGUCAAAUGUAUUUUAGCUUUGUCAGCUAUUUGAUCACACAAUUGUCAUUGCUUACUGUAAUAUAGAAUUCAAAUAAUCCGUAUUUUACACCAUAUGAUCUUCAUUUGCUUGCUUAAAUGUUCUUGAGUACUUAAUUAGCAAAAAAAAUGUUCUUGAGUACUUUUUAUUUGGAUGUGAGGUGUAUAUAGAAGGUUGCUUAAAAUAAUAUGCAUCUGCAGUUCCUCAAAUUACUUUUCUUGAUGCCUAUAGAUGCUAUCAGCUUUGGUUGUUACUGUCACUUGUAUAUUUACAAUCCUAUGCUAUCAUACUCAACCCUUUGGUCAUCUGGAAUCCAAAACACAUGAGAUCUGUGUAGUGAUUAAGAACUGUCAUUGGACAUGAGGCCAGGUCUUGGGCAUAAGCUGAAUUAACAUUUCAUGUUUGAGCUUCAUCAUUCUAGUUACAGCUGAAGCAAAUAAAAUCUCCACUAAGGAUUAUCCCGUUGAUAGUUAACCAUGUGCUUUUUUCUGGGUUCUCUUACUUCCAGUUCUCUUUUGGAUACCUUCUUUGUUCAGCUAUAUCAUUAUCACUUGUUUCAUGGAAUGGUGCAGCUCAUGUUAUGCGAUUUUGGGUGCAAAGCAACAUGGUACAAUGAAGUUCAUGCUUCUUUGUUUCACUCAAGUGAAAUGAAAAUGGUUCAUGAACUGUGGAUAUCCGUUUCAUUCCUUAUUUUGACUUGAAAUUCAGAGAGCUUCCUUGAUUAAUGAUCUCCGUUGUUAUUGUAAACUUCCUUGACCUGUAAAUGACCUUGUAUCUAUAACGAUUCUUUGAUGUUACGACAAAUCCGUGUACCAACUUCAUUAAG